AGCUUUAUAUUCAAUUAUGAUAUAAAAUUGCAAAUUUUAAGGUGUAUAUAAUAGAAAAAUUACUAAGGCUU
rnacentral:tRNA from 1 species